rnacentral:rRNA from 1 species
AACGAACGCUGGCGGCAUGCCUAACACAUGCAAGUCGAACGAGACCUUCGGGUCUAGUGGCGCACGGGUGCGUAACGCGUGGGAACCUGCCUUUAGGUCCGGAAUAACUCAGAGAAAUUUGAGCUAAUACCGGAUGAUGUCUUCGGACCAAAGAUUUAUCGCCUUUAGAUGGGCCCGCGUUGGAUUAGCUAGUUGGUGGGGUAAAGGCCUACCAAGGCGACGAUCCAUAGCUGGUCUGAGAGGAUGAUCAGCCACACUGGGACUGAGACACGGCCCAGACUCCUACGGGAGGCAGCAGUGGGGAAUAUUGGACAAUGGGCGAAAGCCUGAUCCAGCAAUGCCGCGUGAGUGAUGAAGGCCUUAGGGUUGUAAAGCUCUUUUACCCGAGAUGAUAAUGACAGUAUCGGGAGAAUAAGCCCCGGCUAACUCCGUG